AGAAAGUGCUGGUAGGAUUGCAAUUGGUUGGACAGCUCAUUUCAAUUUUGUUGUAAUUCUCGGGUGCAUGUGAUGCACCAGCGGGGAAUGCUAUAUAUAGGAGAGAAAGGACAGCGUGAGGAGAGGAACAGUUGUCUUGUAUUUUUCCAGCUAGUAGAUAGCUUGGGGGCAGUAGUCAUACUGCUGGGGGGUAAGAGAGGUCUUAGCGUCUUGUAUCCAC
rnacentral:misc_RNA from 1 species